GCCCACCAAGCCUACGACGGGUAGCUGGCCUGAGAGGGUGGUCGGCCACAAGGGCACUGAGACACGGGCCCUACUCCUACGGGAGGCAGCAGUGGGGAAUCUUGGACAAUGGGCGAAAGCCUGAUCCAGCGACGCCGCGUGGGGGACGAAGCCCUUCGGGGUGUAAACCCCUGUUGCGAGGGAGGAAUAAGACCUGGAGGAAAUGCCAGGUCGAUGACUGUACCUCGCGAGAAAGCCCCGGCUAACUACGUGCCAGCAGCCGCGGUAAUACGUAGGGGGCGAGCGUUACCCGGAUUCACUGGGCGUAAAGGGGGUGUAGGCGGCUCGGUAAGUCGGGUGUGAAAUCCCACGGCUCAACCGUGGAAUUGCGCCCGAAACUGCCGAGCUUGGGGCCGGUAGAGGGAGACGGAACUGCCGGUGUAGGGGUGAAAUCCGUAGAUAUCGGCAGGAACGCCGGUGGGGAAGCCGGUCUCCUGGGCCGCGCCCGACGCUGAGGCCCGAAAGCUAGGGGAGCAAACCGGAUUAGAUACCCGGGUAGUCCUAGCCGUAAACGAUGCCCACUAGGUGUGGGGGAGUAUUUCCUCCGUGCUGUAGCUAACGCGUUAAGUGGGCCGCCUGGGGAGUACGCCCGCAAGGGUGAAACUCAAAGGAAUUGGCGGGACCCCGCACAAGCGGUGGAGCGCGUGGUUUAAUUGGAUGCUGAGCCAAGAACCUUACCAGGGCUUGACAUGCAGGUGGUACCGACCCGAAAGGGGAGGGACCCCAUCCUUUUGGGUGGGGAGCCUGCACAGGUGGUGCACGGCCGUCGUCAGCUCGUGCCGUGAGGUGUUGGGUUAAGUCCCGCAACGAGCGCAACCCCUGCCCUUAGUUGCCAUCGGUUCGGCCGGGCACUCUAAGGGGACUGCCGGCGACGAGCCGGAGGAAGGAGGGGACGACGUCAGG
rnacentral:rRNA from 1 species